GAAUGUAUGGCAAUAGCUGGUUGCAUUAACAAAAAGUUAGUGUAAGAUCGACUCUGUCGAAUAAAAUUCUAGAUAGAAUUAUGAUAAUGACAUUAUCUAUCUAUGUGUCUUGACCAAAUUACGUGCCAGCAGUCGCGGUAAUACGUAAAAGACUAGUGUUAUUCAUCUUUAAUAGGUUUAAAGGGUACUUAGACGGUAAAUAAAGCCCGAAUAGGGAACUAAUAUACUAGAGUUUGAUGUAAGGAAGCAUGAAAGUACUGUUGGUGUAGAGAUAAAAUUCUAUCAUACCAAAUAUGGCACAGGUUUAGGCGAAAGCAUCUUCUUAUGUAAUAACUGACGUUGAAGGACGAAGGCUUUGUGUCUCGAACAGGAUUAGAUACCCCAGUAGUCUAAGCAGACAAUGAUGAAUGUCAUAGAUUAGAUUUAAUUAAAUUUAUUCUAUAAAUGAAAGUGUAAGCAUUCCACCUCAAGAGUAAUUUGGCAACAUUGGAACUGAAAUCAUUAGACCGUUUCUGAAACCAGUAGUGAAGUAUGUUGUUUAAUUAGAAGAUACGCAAAAAACCUUACCACAAUUUGAAUUAGUAAUAUGUUUUCACAAGCGUUGCACGGCUGUCUACAGUUAAUGUCGUGAGAUUUUGGUUAGUUCCAUUAAAUUAACGC
rnacentral:rRNA from 1 species